rnacentral:rRNA from 1 species
CCUUGACAUCCACGGAAUUUUGGCAGAGAUGCCUUAGUGCCUUCGGGGAACCGUGAGACAGGUGCUGCAUGGCUGUCGUCAGCUCGUGUUGUGAAAUUGUUGGGUUAAGUCCCGCAACGAGCGCAACCCUUAUCCUUUGUUGCCAGCGAUUCGGUCGGGAACUCAAAGGAGACUGCCGGUGAUAAACCGGAGGAAGGUGGGGAUGACGUCAAGUCAUCAUGGCCCUUACGGCCAGGGCUACACACGUGCUACAAUGGCGCAUACAAAGAGAAGCGACCUCGCGAGAGCAAGCGGACCUCAUAAAGUGCGUCGUAGUCCGGAUUGGAGUCUGCAACUCGACUCCAUGAAGUCGGAAUCGCUAGUAAUCGUAGAUCAGAAUGCUACGGUGAAUACGUUCCCGGGCCUUGUACACACCGCCCGUCACACCAUGGGAGUGGGUUGCAAAAGAAGUAGGUAGCUUAACCUUCGGGAGGGCGCUUACCACUUUGUGAUUCAUGACUGGGGUGAAGUCGUAACAAGGUAAGCGUAGCGAG